GGGAGCUCUCCCUAUGGUCGACCUGCAGGCGGCCGCGAAUUCACUAGUGAUUCGUAUUACCGCGGCUGCUGGCACGGAGUUAGCCGGGGCUUUCUUGGUCAGGUACCGUCAUUAUCUUCCCUGCUGAAAAGGGCUUUACAACCCUAAGGCCUUCAUCACCCACUCGGUAUUGCUGGAUCAGGCUUUCGCCCAUUGUCCAAUAUUCCCCACUGCUGCCUCCCGUAGGAGUCUGGGCCGUGUCUCAGUCCCAGUGUGGCUGAUCAUUCUCUCAAACCAGCUACAGAUCAUUGGCUUGGUAGGCCAUUACCCUACCAACUACCUAAUCUGGCGCGGGCUCAUCCAUCAGCGAUAAAUCUUUCCUCCAAAGAGAAUAUACGGUAUUAGCAAUUAUUUCUAAAUGUUAUUCCGUACUGAUGGGCAGAUUCCCACGUGUUACUCACCCGUCUGCCACUAAUUUAUUUAAAGCAAGCUCUAAAUAAAUCCGUUCGACUUGCAUGUGUUAAGCAUACCGAAAGCGUUCGUUCUGAGCCAUGAUCAAACUCUAAUCGAAUUCCCGCGGCCGCC
rnacentral:rRNA from 1 species